CUCCAGUGGGCAUCUCUCAGGCAGACCAUCAUGGAGACGGCUGGAGUGCUUAUCCACCUGACACACAAGAGCACACCUUUUCUGUCCCGAGACCCUCAGGUGACUACCAAGGAAGAACACUGAGUACUUCUGGUGGGAGACAGGAAAAUCCAGUCUUGAGUACAGUACCAAAUCAAUGUACACGUACGUUAUUUAUUAAUUUAAAUAAGUUGCAAAAUGCAUCAUUUCAUUCAU